AGUUAAAAUAAUUAAUUGCAAAUUAAUACUUGAUUUUUAAUCUUUAACUU
rnacentral:tRNA from 1 species